AUUGAACGCUGGCGGCAUGCUUUACACAUGCAAGUCGAACGGCAGCACGGGUGCUUGCACCUGGUGGCGAGUGGCGAACGGGUGAGUAAUGCAUCGGAACGUAUCCAAUAAUGGGGGAUAACGCACCGAAAGGUGUGCUAAUACCGCAUACGCCCUGAGGGGGAAAGUGGGGGACCGUAAGGCCUCACGUUAAUGGAGCGGCCGAUGCCUGAUUAGCUAGUUGGUGAGGUAAAGGCUCACCAAGGCGACGAUCAGUAGCUGGUCUGAGAGGACGACCGGCCACACGGGAACUGAGACACGGCCCAGACUCCUACGGGAGGCAGCAGUGGGGAAUUUUGGACAAUGGGCGCAAGCCUGAUCCAGCCAUGCCGCGUGAGUGAAGAAGGCCUUCGGGUUGUAAAGCUCUUUCGCAAGGAAAGAAAACUUAUCCCCUAAUACGGGAUGAGGAUGACGGUACCUUGAUAAGAAGCACCGGCUAACUACGUGCCAGCAGCCGCGGUAAAAC
rnacentral:rRNA from 1 species